GGUGAGCGCAGGUACCGCGCCGCGGCCGUCAGUCCGCCUCGGCAUGUCGGUCUGCGCGCGCGCCUCGCCCGUGCAUAAAUACAAACGGUUAUGGAAAUGAAGAGUCAGUCCGCGACAGGUGCGCGGCCGCGGCGUUCGUGCACGUGUGCUGUUUGUGAGUGCGCCGGCGCUGCCGCUUUCUCCGCGACCUUCGUGCUUUGGUUUGUCAUGUGAAUGCAUGUUCUAAGCAGCACGUGUAACUUAAGCUACCUCAGAAUAAAUGUGUAUUGAAUAGUACUGAAAUGACUACAAAAUGUUGACAACCCUGGAAAUACCAAUUCAUUACGUUGUGAGUAAUGCGGGCUUGGAGACCAUUUGUUUUACUUUUUCACUUAUCCUUGGCAACAAACAAUUUAAAAAAUUAGUAUGUUAAGUAAAAGUCAGAUAAAUGCGCGUUUUUCAUUUAUUCCUGUGGGUUUUAAGAUUAAUAAAUUUUCACAUCGAUGUCUAACUGGUCAAAGGAAAACGAAUGUUUAACUAAAAAGUUUAAAUUAGUAUCGGAUAUAGUGUAAUU